UUGCGCAAUGGGCGAAAGCCUGACGCAGCAACGCCGCGUGAGCGAAGAAGGCCUUCGGGUUGUAAAGCUCUGUCAGGGGGAAAGGAGGCACCUGGGUUAAUAGCCCAAGGGCUGACGGUACCCCCAAAGGAAGCCACGGCUAACUACGUGCCAGCAGCCGGGGUAAUACGUAGGUGGCGAGCGUUGUCCGGAAUCAUUGGGCGUAAAGAGCGCGUAGGUGGCUUGUCAGGUCCGAUGUGAAAACCUGGGGCUCAACUCCAGGCCUGCAUCGGAAAACGGCUUGCUAGAGUCUGGGAGAGGAGAGUGGAAUUCCUGGUGUAGCGGUGAAAUGCGUAGAUAUCAGGAGGAACACCGGUAGCGAAGGCGGCUCUCUGGAACAGUACUGACGCUGAGGCGCGAAAGCUAGGGGAGCG
rnacentral:rRNA from 1 species